rnacentral:rRNA from 1 species
GAUGAACGCUGGCGGCAGGCCUAACACAUGCAAGUCGAGCGAACGGACGAGGAUUUUGCUUGUCUGAGGGUAGCGGCGGGCGGGUGAGUAAUAUGUGUAUAACCGACUUAGAAGACUGAGAUAACUACGGGAAACCGGAUCUAGCAUCCGAAAAUAUCUUGAACCGCAUGGCUCAAAAGUGAAAGACGGUCUUGCUGUUCCUUAUAGAUCGAACCGCGCUGCAUUAGCUAGGUGGUAUGGUAACGGCUUACCAAGGCUACGAUGCAUAGCGGAUCCGAUAGGGUGAUCAGCCACCCUGGAACUGAGACACGGUCCAGACUCCUACGGGAGGCCGCAGUAGGGAAUAUUGCGCAAUGGGCGAAAGCCUGAUCUAGCAAAGCCGCGUGAGUUCUGAAGGUCUUCGGAUCGUAGAGCGCUGUUAGUCGGGAGGAAGAUAAGUGUGUUUAGCUGUGCACAUCUUGACGGUACCAACAGAAGAAGCCCCGGCUAACUUCGUG